GCAGGAUCAAAGGAGGUUGCUCAUCGACUGGUUCUGAAGUUACAGUUCUGCAAAAAUGUCCCUAGCAAAGCAUCAAGCGGUAUUGGCUGGAGAAAAAACAUCAGUUGACAGUGAAAAUGGUAACCCACAUGCUAUCAGUAUUGUACAUUAAUGCACUAAUUCUAUAGCUUUGUCUUGAAUAAAUUUAUGUACCUGGAGACGAAUCCAACCAAAUGUAUUAAACUAACAUUACUUUAGCCCUUUUCCAUUUCCGAGGCAUUAGUUCUAUCGAUCCUUAUAGAUGCCAAAUCAUCAUUUGUCCGAUCAAUCAGUGGAUAUAUCUUCCUGACUACAUCAUCUACUGCACUGCUGCUCAUUUGUUUUUUGUCUACUUUUUAACCAUAUCAACAUAACGACUUUUCUCGUUCAUGGCCAUUUUUUGUGGUUAGUUUUUGUUGAUUUAGAUCACUUGAUUAAUUGAUGCCAUACCUCCAUUCGGUGUGCCCUAUGUCUAGGCAGGCAAACAUGUUUCGGUGCUUUGAGAUUUAAAAAAUUGUCAUAUGAGUUGAGGCUCUGUAAUCCAGAUUCCAGUGUGUAAAUGGAAUUCAAACAGAUUUGGAUAGCAAAUUAGUGGAUGCUUGCGUAAGAGAAUAUCUGUGGAAAAACACUAUAGGUGUAUCUUAGCGUAAUUUGAUCCAAACCACUUGCAAUCAGUGCGAGAUGAAUUGAACUGUGCGAUUCUACUUUAGAAUUGCAACAUUAUGCCAUAUAUGGACAUAAAAAAAACUUAUAGAUUCUUUAUAUUUCUGUAUAACACUUCCACCGACAGAUAAUACAACUUAGGAGGGGAAAACACAUCGAGAUCUAACAUUGCCUUCUCACAAAAAUGCAAAAUAGAAAAAGAAGAAGAAAGAAAUGUAUCUCAUUUGCCCAGUAUAUGAUGAUGUUGUUUACCAUACUUGGGAACGCUAAGGUUGCUUCCAAAUAUGUACUACAUGAUAGUCCCAGAAUGCGAGCUCAACAAAACUCAGAGCUCAUCAGCUCGGCAUCAUCAAAUCUAAUGCAUAUCCUACGACCGAUCGAUGAUGACAGCCCGACCGGUGCCAAGCAGCCGGUAGGAGUUCCCCCUGGCAAGGCCGCACCUCCUUCGUCCCGCCAUCUGCUUCUCCUCCUCGAUCUGCUCCAACACCCCGGCAAACAUCUCGGAGUUGCAGGGUAGCUCGAGGGGCCCUGCGGCCGCAUACCCAAACACCUCCUCGGCCUCCUCGAGCAGCGCCCGGAACAGCGGGUGGUUCACACACACUGUCCGCACCACGAACCGCUGCCUCCCAGCACCGACGUAGACAGAGAAACAGCCCUCUGCGGGCUUGUUCCUCAUUGGUGUGCUCCAGCACCUGUCCAGCGUCUUGGUAAUCAGCCCGGCCUUCCUCGUCGCCGAGCUCUUCUCAGCCAUGCCCAUGGUGCACACAAGUUAGCAGGCUAACUAGUUGCAAUUUGCAGAAAGAAGAAAAAGUGUAGCAAGCUUGGAAUUGGGAGGUGGCGAGGAAAGGGGUGGAAUGGUAUAUAUAGACGGAUCCACCAAGACAUGGUCUCUCGAUGGAAAGGCCGUAUUUGAGAUAUGAAGAUGAUGAGAGUGACCCAAAAGCUAUUUUAAAAGGCGAAUACGCAAAAGACUUGCUUAUCAUUUCAUUAAAGAAGAGUGGGAAAGUGAUGGAAAAUAGUCAGACAAUUAUUGCACAUAUAGAAUCAAGCUUUGCACCUUAUUCAUUGAUCUUUAAUUAGAAGGAUGUGACUUGUUGUUUUAGCAGCAUUUGUACAAUAAUAAGUUUCAUCUUAUAGAAGUGUAGACUUUUCCUCUCCAAAACUGCCUGACGGAAGUUCGAUCCACUUUUACAUACCAUUAUGUUUAAGAUAUAUUGAUUUUGCUUCUAAGCUUUAUUUACCAGGGGUUUCACCAAGCUCUUGACUCCAGCUUUUCAGAUAAGCUUGAGGUAGUGAAAACAAUAUGGAUCCAACUUUUGACUCUAGAGGGAUCAAGUUAAGAUGGACAUUUAACCCAUUUUCUAGAGCUGAUGCACUCUUGUUGGUGCUUCAAGUCCUCAAAAGUUAGCACUGGAUUAAUUAGUCAAUGGUUAAGGCAAUAUUAUGUGAAGAUCUCUGCAUCUGCCUAAUGGUUCCAUUUGUUCGUGGGGCCACAAAAUGUUAGUUUAUAAAAGCGAGGUUAGAGUUUACGUCUCGGGAACCCCUGGAGUACCAGUAUUAGUUGGAGCCAAAACUAAUGGCUCUAGCUUCUCCAUGCUAUAGAAUAAAGAGACAGAAAUUCAAGAAAGGCCAUGGUCACGGCUGUAAAGGCUGUUUAUCGAGACACGUCAUGGAUGAUUUAUCGCCUUGUCUUUGGAUAUUCAGAGAAUAUCCCUAUGUUUAGUUAUGGUAGUAUUGUUGCUGUACGAUACUUGUGUUCAACUGAUUGGUUGCAAACUCAAAAAAUAAGAAAAGGCUGGAUCAAGCAGUUAAUUUUUAUUUUAAUACUUGGUAAUUUGCAGUGUCUGUUUUCCCCCUUACUGAUACUUGAUCCCAUGCUUUGGUGUUCUUCAGUCCUCUGAAAGGGUCAAAGAAUACCUGGAACCGUUAAGCUUGCCCUGGUUGCUGCACAUCCAACUGGGUCAGUUGCUAUAUAUCUUCCCGAUUACAUCAUCUACUAAACUACUCCUCAUUGAUUUUUUGCCUCCCUUUUAGCCAUACCUAUAUAACUGAGUUUUCCUGUUUAUGGUCCUUGUCUGUGGUUAGUUUUUGUAGAUAUUAGAUUAAUUGCUGCCAAAACUCCAUUGGAGUGCCAAGUGUCUAGCCGGCAAACAUGUUUCUAUUGGUGCUUUGAGAUUAAAUAUUUUUGGCAUUUGUGUUGAGGCUCUGUAAUCCUGUGUGUAAAUGGACUUAAAACAAAUUCGGUAGCAAAUCAGUGGAUACUUGCAUGCAGAUGAUCUGCGGAGAAACACCAUAGUUCAUUAAUAUUAGCGUAGUUCCAUUAAACCACUUGCAAUCAGUGUGGGAUGAAUUGAAUUGCGCGAUUCCACUUUGGAGUUGCGACAUUGGGCCAUAUAUGGACGUCACAAGAGUUACAGGUUCGAAUGUGCAUCUGUAUAACACUUUCACCGACUGUUACUACAACUUAGGGUGGGAACACACAUCAACAUCCAGCAUUACCUUACAAAAAUAGAAAAAAGAAGAAGAAGAAAAAUAUCUAACAUUGCCCAGUAUAUGAUGGUGUUGUUUAUCAUAAUGGGAAUGCUCAACAGAAACUUUAGAGCUCAUCAACUCGCCAUCAUCCAAUUUGUAUGCUACGACUGUCCGAUGAUGACAGACCGGCUGGUGCCGAGCAGCCGGUAGGAGUUCCCCUUGGCAAGGACGAACCUCCUUCCUGCCACCAUCUGCUUCUCCUCCUUGAUCUGCUGCAGCACCCUGGCAAACGCCUCGGCGUUGCAGGGAAGCUCGAGGGGCCCUGCAUCCGCGUACCCAAACACCUCCUCGGCCUCCUCCAACAGCGCUCGGAACAGCGGGUGGUUCACGCACUCUGUCCGCACCACGAACCGCUGCUUCCCGGCGCCAACAUACACCGAGAAGCAGCCCUCCACUGGCUUGCUGUUUCUCGCCGGUGUGGUCCAGCACCGGUCCAGCGCCUUGGUGAUUAGCCCGGCCUUCCUUGCAGCCGACCUCUUGUCAGCCAUGCCCAUUGCGCACAAAACCUCGUAGGCUAUAUCUAGUUGCAAAUUUGCAAAGAAUGUGUAGCAAGCUUGGAAUUUGGGAGGUGGGAAGGAAAGGGGUGGAACGGUAUAUAUAGGCCGAUCGACAAAGACGGGUUCUGUCAAUCGAAAAGCCGUAUUUGAAAUACGAAGCCGGCGAGAGUGACCUGAAGCCUUUCUUUUUUCACGAAUACGCAAGAGACUCUGCACAUCCUUCCAUUAAAAAAGAGAGGGAAAUGAAUGGAAAUUAGUCAGACAAUUAUUGUGCAUAUAGAAUCUCCCAAUCUCUGCGCCUUACUGGUUGGAUGUUAGGUAGGAUGCACUUUGUUGUUUUAAUAAUAGUAGCAUUUGAGUACUAUAAUAGUACGUUUUGAUGAUAUGUGCGUACAGGCCUAAUGCUUAAUGAUAUGUCAAUUAGGGUGCGAUUUGGCAGCCUCGGAAGGUUACCCUAAGGAAGAGUUAGCUGCGACUGUGGAGGGAAGCUGGCGUGUGUGACAUCAUGCCAUCAUGUCCGACUUGGAGCUGGAGGAGGGGCCAAUGUCGUGGCGUCAUGGCAAUAAUGCAUUAGAUUUAGCUACAGGUUAGUUAAUCCUCUCUGACCUGGCCUUGCUGCAUGAUUGGUAUUAGUUUUGAGGUGUCAAACUCCUCAGCCACAAGGAUUGUUUAGCUUAGCAUUAGCAACAGUGCAUGGAACGCUCCAAACCGACGGCGCCCGUGAAGGCUUUGUUUGAUGGGUUCAGAAAGAAUUGAGACUUUAUGUCAUCACUCUG
rnacentral:lncRNA from 1 species